UUUGUACUCCCUCUGUUUGGAAUUACUUGUCACAAAAAUGGAUGUAUCUACAACUAAAAUACAUCUAGAUACAUUCAUUUCUUGGACGAGUAAUUCCGAAUGGAGGGAGUAUUUG
rnacentral:pre_miRNA from 1 species